GGAUCUUGGGAUACUUGGAGUUAAGCGUCCUUGGGUUUGAAUAAUACUGGGCUGGGUGACCUCCCGGGAAGUCCAAACUCAAGAGCUU
rnacentral:rRNA from 1 species